rnacentral:rRNA from 1 species
AGCUCCAAUAGCGUAUACUAAAGUUGUUGCAGUUAAAAGCUCGUAGUUGGAUUUCUGCGCGGGCGGGGCGGCCGCGCCCCUAUGGGGUGUCGAGCCAGCAACGCCCGCGCAUCCUGCCGCGAACCGCGCUACCAUUAGCUUGGUGGCGUUCGGGGACCGGCUCGUUUACUUUGAGAAAAAUAGAGUGUUCAAAGCAGGCCUGAUGCCUUGAAUAAUGUAGCAUGGAAUAAUGAUAAAGGACUUGGUUCUAU